CGCUCGGAGUUGCCACAGCGACCGGAAGGAUCUCGAUGGAGACAGCAUCCCCUGGCCCCCGCACGAUACGGAUUAACCCCUUCUCCUGCAGCUCCUCCACCUUCAGCUCGAGCGCCGAGGGCCGCGCCGCCGGGACGGAGGGUCUCCAACUCCUUUCGAGCCUGGCUUAGCUGCUUUUCCAGCUCGGCGAUCUUGGCCAUGGAUUCGUUCUCCGCGUCCCGAAGCUUCUCUGUCAGCUGUGGCACAGCUCAUGCUCCUCCAUGUGCUCCAGCACCGCGUUCUUGGUCUCCGUAUCCUCCAGCAGCGCACCCACGUCGAAAACGUUGUCCAAGUAUGCUUGAAUCUGCACCUGCAGCUUGUCACUCUCGGUGAGCCGCAGCCUCUGCCCCGGACGGAAAGAGCAGGAUGGGAAAAAUGAGACUCCAAGAGAAGAAGAAACCUAUCCAAAGUCACAUGGGCUUGGAAGGGGCAGAGUCGGGAUUUGAACCAGAUCUGCCUGACCUCAACACCCACGCUGCUAAGCACAGAGCCACACUCUGCAGUUGAACUGCCCAUCAUGACUUCCACAUCAGUGCCUCUUGACAAUUCUAUUGUGUUUCCAACAACACUGGGAAGCCCUACCACCUCCCUCCAUCUGCCACAUCGUCCUUCUUCCGUCAUUGCUCAGAUAUGCCUGAGUCUUUGCUCAUGCUGUUCCUUCCACCUGGAAUGCCCCUCCCUGUCCCCAUCACUGCCUGUAAAGCCUGUAUCCAUCUGCGAGACAUAGUUCCAGUGCUCUCUCUUCUGGAAGACCUUCCUGAUGCCCCGGGAGGUAGCCACCUCCCCUCUCAGAGCUCCUGGUCACACCUCCACGAUAGCCUGUCCAACAUUGUCCCCUUCUAGACCAAGGGCUCCCAAAGCCAGGGUGAUCUCUCUCUCUCCUGAGCACCUGCUACCAUGCCUGAUACAUAGGAAAUGCUAGAAAAUAUUUGUUAAAUGAGUGAAUGAAUGAGCAGACAA